UAAUGGUAUUCUUCUUAUUCGUAAAUUGUAUGUGGAAAAUCUUAUAUUCGAUUAUCAUUACAUGCGAAUUUGAAUUAUAUUACAUCUAGCCAUUAUUAUUAUUAUCAAAACAUGUUCUGUCUCUUCUCACAUACUAAACGUACUUUUGAUGAUAGAUAAUAUUAUUUAUUCCAGCAACAAAAAAAGAAAAAAAGAAGAAGAAUUAAGAUGUAAAAAGUGGUAGAAACCCAUUUUCUUUCCUCCUCCCUCCUCCCUCCUCCUCUUUUGCACUGCAACAGGAGCCCAAUUAAACAGCAAGCCGACGACUGCCGAGUGCCAAGUGGACACAACAGCUCUGUCGUCCACGGGUCACCAAAGGCUCUCAAACUACACACCCAGAAUGCUCUUGCCGUCCUUUAUCCAAUCCCCAAGUUAGUUUCUAUAAAUUCGUAGGCGAUUUUCCUCAACUUCAAAUUUAAGAAACGGUGACCCAGGGUUUUCCGGCCAAUUUCCGGCCAAUUUCCGGCCAAUAUCGCCGGAAUUUGACCUCGACCCAAGAGGUAGAAAUGAUCCUCUUCUCGUGGGCUGUUCUCCAAUGUGGACACAAAAGUGAUUGCAAAUUAGAAACAUUAAUCUAAAGCAUACCUUGUCCA